GUCUGUGCAGCCGUAUCGAGUAAAACUUUGUGGCAAAGUACCAGGCCGGCAGCAACAUGAGAAGCGGUGGUACGCGAGAGAAAGUAAAGACUGAUGCCCAGAGUCUGUUCACUGGAUUCAUGAUGUCUGUUACACAAAAAACUGGCAAGAUUCGGCUAUGUUGCUCAUUCCUGAACUUUAGAGGAAGAACGGAUGAUCAUAUUUGAAAGGAUAUGGGAGUUAAAGCUCUGACAUGAGUGCAGAGGUCAUCAGAGAUCAAUAACCUCUUUGUGCUCUUCCAAUCUCUUCUCAUCCAGACAUCCCUUGCUCGCUAUGUAAAUACUUCUGUCCUAACCCUGCCUGCUAUCUCUCUCUCUCUCUCUCUCUCUCUCUCUCUCUCUCUCUCUCUCUCUCUCUGUAUCAUGAAUACUGAAUCUAAGGAAGCUUUCAAAUUGACAUUGGCACAAUGCAGAAGAAAAAUCUCAUGGAAAAAUAUCCUGGUGCACUUUGACCUCAAAACCAUCAAGAUUUUUGCAUUGUGACAUUAUUUUCAUAACAUUUUCUCAACCACCAAUUCUCAUUAAUGAAAUGUAAAAAACCUACUUCUCAGUACUGCUGUUAUGCACAUGCUGUAAUAGCAUUUGCUGUACUGUCUUUCAUUUAUGCUGAUUUAAAUACAUGAAUUAUAGGAUUUAAAUAAUGUAAUUGCGCUACAAUAUUUCUUUAUUGUAGUACAUUAAAAUAAAUGCAUUAUUACAGCAAUAAGAAUUGAAAAUGAAGUAAAAUGUCAGGAUGAAAUAGAGUAAUGCAAAUUUUGGAGGGAAACAGAUGUCAUUGAGGACGUUAACAGAAGCUGAUGCCGAUAGAGAGAUCUGGAGAUCCUGUUGGCUAUUGGGUCAAUGACAAAUCAAGCUCCUAAAAACAUAUUUCUAAAACAUAUUUUAUGUAAAAAAUUAUGUAAUGCAUAUUUUUAAGUCAAUGUGUUUAAAAACAUUUUGUUUAUUAAGUAACAUUUUAGUCCAUUUUAAUUAUUUUCCCACAAAGAUAUCCCUAUUCAAAAAAAAUGUCAGGUGGUACAACCAAUCAUUGUCUAUUUGCGCUCCCUGUGUCAUGCUGAUUCUUUGUU